rnacentral:rRNA from 1 species
UACGUAGGGACCAAGCGUUGUUCGGAUUUACUGGGCGUAAAGAGCGCGCAGGCGGUCGUUCAAGUCGCGUGUGAAAGCCCCCGGCUCAACUGGGGAGGGUCACGCGAUACUGAUCGACUCGAAGGCAGGAGAGGGUAGUGGAAUUCCCGGUGUAGUGGUGAAAUGCGUAGAUAUCGGGAGGAACACCAGUGGCGAAGGCGACUACCUGGCCUGUUCUUGACGCUGAGGCGCGAAAGCUAGGGGAGCGAACAGG